rnacentral:rRNA from 1 species
UACGAAGGGGGCUAGCGUUGCUCGGAAUCACUGGGCGUAAAGCGCACGUAGGCGGAUUGCUAAGUCAGGGGUGAAAUCCUGGAGCUCAACUCCAGAACUGCCUUUGAUACUGGCGAUCUUGAGUCCGGGAGAGGUGAGUGGAACUGCGAGUGUAGAGGUGAAAUUCGUAGAUAUUCGCAAGAACACCAGUGGCGAAGGCGGCUCACUGGACCGGAACUGACGCUGAGGCGCGAAAGCGUGGGGAGCAAACGGG